rnacentral:misc_RNA from 1 species
AAUGCUUGCACCUGUACCCCGUACCAGGUAACCAUGGUCCUGAAAAUACAAUAUUUCUAUAAACUUAAGCAAUGCCUUUAGAGGGUAGACUACAUAAGGAUAUAAAGUGAUUUGGUAAAAUUCAAUUAAUUCAUUCUUCAGUCUUUCUUUCUGGCCAGAGCAAGUCUGUAGUAGCAAACAUGGUACAGAUAUAUAAUUACCGAGACACAGAAUCAUUUUGCUCUCCUUGGAAUCUGUUUACCCUGAAUCACAAGAAACAAACGGCUAGCAACUCCAAGCUUUUGGGAUGAAUAACUGAAAGAAAUUAGCACAAAAAUGUUACACAAGUAUAGCAUCUUUAACUCCUUGUGAUUUUUCCUAGUGAGAUUUAUCAAAUUAAGUUCGAGAAAGGAAAAUAAGUAUAUAAUUUGACCACAUCACCUAAAUUGCCACAAACAAAUAUUUGCAUGAGACUAAGCAAUCAGCACAGGUAGAAAGUACAAAAUCUGCUGCGAAAUGAUAAGAUAUCAAUAUGUAGACAGCUAUCUCAAUACCUGAAUACUCACUGGGCAUAGGUACACAUCUUCAGCAUUAACAAUAAAAACAAGCACUUAAUAUAACCUAGAUUUGAUACACCACUUCAGGACAUGGAAAGGCAUAAUGCGUAUAUUCACUACUCCAUAUCUACAAU